rnacentral:rRNA from 1 species
GGGAAACCGAGUCUUAAUUGGGCGUUAAGUUGCAGGGUAUAGACCCGAAACCCGGUGAUCUAGCCAUGGGCAGGUUGAAGGUUGGGUAACACUAACUGGAGGACCGAACCGACUAAUGUUGAAAAAUUAGCGGAUGACCUGUGGCUGGGGGUGAAAGGCCAAUCAAACCGGGAGAUAGCUGGUUCUCCCCGAAAGCUAUUUAGGUAGCGCCUCGUGAAUUCAUCUCCGGGGGUAGAGCACUGUUUCGGCUAGGGGGCCAUCCCGGCUUACCAACCCGAUGCAAACUGCGAAUACCGGAGAAUGUUAUCACGGGAGACACACGGCGGGUGCUAACGUCCGUCGUGAAGAGGGAAACAACCCAGACCGCCAGCUAAGGUCCCAAAGUCAUGGUUAAGUGGGAAACGAUGUGGGAAGGCCCAGACAGCCAGGAUGUUGGCUUAGAAGCAGCCAUCAUUUAAAGAAAGCGUAAUAGCUCACUGGUCGAGUCGGCCUGCGCGGAAGAUGUAACGGGGCUAAACCAUGCACCGAAGCUGCGGCAGCGACGCUUAUGCGUUGUUGGGUAGGGGAGCGUUCUGUAAGCCUGCGAAGGUGGCCUGUGAGGGUUGCUGGAGGUAUCAGAAGUGCGAAUGCUGACAUAAGUAACGAUAAAGCGGGUGAAAAGCCCGCUCGCCGGAAGACCAAGGGUUCCUGUCCAACGUUAAUCGGGGCAGGGUGAGUCGACCCCUAAGGCGAGGCCGAAAGGCGUAGUCGAUGGGAAACGGGUUAAUAUUCCCGUACUUGGUGUUACUGCGAAGGGGGGACGGAGAAGGCUAUGUUGGCCGGGCGACGGUUGUCCCGGUUUAAGCGUGUAGGUGUGUGUUCCAGGUAAAUCCGGUUCACUUUAACACUGAGGCGUGACGACGAGGCACUACGGUGCUGAAGCAACAAAUGCCCUGCUUCCAGGAAAAGCCUCUAAGCAUCAGGUAACAUCAAAUCGUACCCCAAACCGACACAGGUGGUCAGGUAGAGAAUACCAAGGCGCUUGAGAGAACUCGGGUGAAGGAACUAGGCAAAAUGGUGCCGUAACUUCGGGAGAAGGCACGCUGACACGUAGGUGAAGUGAUUUACUCAUGGAGCUGAAGUCAGUCGAAGAUACCAGCUGGCUGCAACUGUUUAUUAAAAACACAGCACUGUGCAAACACGAAAGUGGACGUAUACGGUGUGACGCCUGCCCGGUGCCGGAAGGUUAAUUGAUGGGGUCAGCGCAAGCGAAGCUCCUGAUCGAAGCCCCGGUAAACGGCGGCCGUAACUAUAACGGUCCUAAGGUAGCGAAAUUCCUUGUCGGGUAAGUUCCGACCUGCACGAAUGGCGUAAUGAUGGCCAGGCUGUCUCCACCCGAGACUCAGUGAAAUUGAACUCGCUGUGAAGAUGCAGUGUACCCGCGGCAAGACGGAAAGACCCCGUGAACCUUUACUAUAGCUUGACACUGAACAUUGAGCCUUGAUGUGUAGGAUAGGUGGGAGGCUUUGAAGUGUGGACGCCAGUCUGCAUGGAGCCGACCUUGAAAUACCACCCUUUAAUGUUUGAUGUUCUAACGUGGACCCGUUACCCGGGUUGCGGACAGUGUCUGGUGGGUAGUUUGACUGGGGCGGUCUCCUCCUAAAGAGUAACGGAGGAGCACGAAGGUUGGCUAAUCCUGGUCGGACAUCAGGAGGUUAGUGCAAUGGCAUAAGCCAGCUUGACUGCGAGCGUGACGGCGCGAGCAGGUGCGAAAGCAGGUCAUAGUGAUCCGGUGGUUCUGAAUGGAAGGGCCAUCGCUCAACGGAUAAAAGGUACUCCGGGGAUAACAGGCUGAUACCGCCCAAGAGUUCAUAUCGACGGCGGUGUUUGGCACCUCGAUGUCGGCUCAUCACAUCCUGGGGCUGAAGUAGGUCCCAAGGGUAUGGCUGUUCGCCAUUUAAAGUGGUACGCGAGCUGGGUUUAGAACGUCGUGAGACAGUUCGGUCCCUAUCUGCCGUGGGCGCUGGAGAACUGAGGGGGGCUGCUCCUAGUACGAGAGGACCGGAGUGGACGCAUCACUGGUGUUCGGGUUGUCAUGCCAAUGGCACUGCCCGGUAGCUAAAUGCGGAAGAGAUAAGUGCUGAAAGCAUCUAAGCACGAAACUUGCCCCGAG